GACGAAGGGGGCUAGCGUUGUUCGGAAUUACUGGGCGUAAAGCGAGUGUAGGUGGUUGUCCAAGUUGGAUGUGAAAGCCUUGAGCUCAACUCAAGAAAUGCAUUCAGGACUGGGUGACUAGAGGACCGGAGAGGAUAGUGGAAUUCCCAGUGUAGUGGCGAAAUACGUAGAGAUUGGGAAGAACACCAGUGGCGAAGGCGGCUAUCUGGACGGUUUCUGACACUAAGACUCGAAAGCGUGGGGAGCAAACAGG
rnacentral:rRNA from 1 species